AGCUGCAGUUCCAAAUAAAGAAGAAGAAGGAGGAGGAGGAAGAAGGAAUAAGGAAGAAAGCAAAGUUAAACAGAUAUCAAAACAGAGAUGUCGAGGAGGUGUGUGUUAGGUUGUGGCUCCCCCGAAACUCUUUUCACAUUCCCUAAAAUACCGUGGUUGCGGUCUCGAUGGCUCGACUUUUUGCAUUUUGAAGAAGGCGCGAUAUCAGAGAGUUCUCGGCUGUGCUCGAAACACUUUACACAAGAUUCCUUCAAAAACUGGACACGGCACAAAAUGGGCUUUGUGAAGUUUCUGUCGUUGACUGAAAACGCUGUCCCGUCAGUAUACACGGUUGGUGCUUCCCAUACAUUGAAGCCCCUAACAAGAGAUGUGGCCUGUCAGUGUGAUCCUCCAAAUGUGAAGAGUGUGUCAGUCCGCACGGAAAAACAAAAGCAGAAAGUACGGAGUAAAGGGGUUCAAGUGAAGCCUUGCUGGUUGCAGCCGGUUGGCACAUCGUUUUCUGAUGCCAAUUCUGCACCUUCAUGUUUCACAUCAACACCAAUUAAAAGACCAAGGAUAGAAGUGUCCACAUUCAGUGAGAACUCCAAGUGCACCUCGAAAGACCUGUCAGACUUCUGUGAGCCUAAUGUUAAGGAAGAGGACAGUGAAAAGUCUGUUCAAACUGCCUCAGUAAAAGAAUGGAAGAGUGAGACUUACACCUGAAGCACACCUGCUAGAAAUAAGAUUUUUCAACACAGAGGAAUUUAGUGGAACGUUAAACAGAUAGUUCCAAAAGGGCAUUGUCCCAAGUAUAAAUGACACAUGAGGAACCUGGAUUGCAACGAGGGGUUGUCCAUUCUGUUAGUCCAGAAAAUGUAUGCACUUGGGAAAGAGCACAGUUGUAGAGAGGUUCUGGCCUGAAAGAAAAGUAUCAUCAACCAACAGUGGUCUGCAUUCUCCAAGAUGGGUAAAGCAGCAGCCAUGGAAGUACCGAAGUCCAUCUUUAAAGUUCACCAUCAUAAGAGCUACUCUUUGCUGGUCUGUGACCAUGGGAUUAGUUUUGAUUGUAGAAUUUUUGUAUUGUUUUGUUGAUGUCAAAUGCUGUCCGAUUAGUCUAGUUCAGGGGUUCUCAAUCCCGGUCCUGGAGGUCCAGUGUCCUGCAUAUUUUAGCUCCAACUCCAAUUAGACCUGGCCUAGCUAAUCAAGCUCUUACU
rnacentral:lncRNA from 1 species